rnacentral:rRNA from 1 species
AUUGAACGCUGGCGGCAGGCCUAACACAUGCAAGUCGAACGAGCGGCGGACGGGUGAGUAAUGUCUGGGAAACUGCCCGAUGGAGGGGGAUAACUACUGGAAACGGUAGCUAAUACCGCAUACUAUCAGCUGAGCCCAGAUGGGAUUAGCUAGUGGGUGGGGGAAAGGCUCACCAAGGCGACGAUGCCUAGCUGGUCUGAGAGGAUGACCAGCCACACUGAGACUGAGACACGGUCCAUACUCCUACGGGAGGCAGCAGUGGGGAAUAUUGCACAAUGGGCGCAAGCCUGAUGCAGCCAUGCCGCGUGUAUGAAGAAGGCCUUCGGGUUGUAAAGUACUUUCAGCGGGGAGGCGUUACCCGCAGAAGAAGCACCGGCUAACUCCGUGCCAGCAGCCGCGGUAAUUC